UAAAUGGUUUCGUUGAGAUGAUUACUACUUCUCAUACUUGAAUUUCAUACGUUUUGUAUUGCUUUGUGAUACAUUCCAUUAUCACAAAUUCACAAUUACCAGGACAAAUUCACUUUUAUUAUUGAAGGGGACUCUUUUUACAAAUUUUUCAGCUUAUUUUACGAAAUGGGAGAAUAUGAGUUGAGAGCUGACAAGGAAAAAUUGCGAGUAAGUUAAUGAUGAGAGGAGAAAGAAGAAAUGGACUAUACUUUCUGUUAUAAGUAAAAAUUCCUCCAAAAGUAUAUGAAAUAUUUGCAUAAAGAGAAUUGAUUAAAUACUCUUCUGAAAAACUUUGUCCUAACUUAAUUUUGUAUUUUUGUUCGCCAAAGUUUUGAAAAUAAUAAUUUUAAGGAUGUUUCAGGUUCAUAAUGAUGAUGAGGUAAGGGCAUUGUUCAUGCUGCUCUCCAACUUAAGCAAUUGAUAGUGAAAGAGACAUAAGAGGUUUAAGUGGGAGACAUACAAGGCACUAUACCCAUUACACUUGGGCUCUCGGGACAAUAUUCUUUCUUCAGAUUUCAUAUUGUGGUAUGUCGGUUAAAGUGGAUUACCUACUAGAAGAGAAUGUAAGAUUCCAGAGGCUGCAACAACAGACAUGCAUCUACAUUUAUAUGUGUAUGUAAACAUACAUGCAUAUAUUAUAUUGUUACUCAUUUAGAUCAAGUUUUUGUUCUUCACAUUUUAAUUACAAAUGAUUUUGUUUGUUUAUGUUUGUUUUAAUAGUCAUGCUACUAUCUCUUUUGCGAAUCACUUUUUAGAAAAUAUUUUACUAAAGUGAUGUUGCAAUUGUGUCUAUCAUUGUUGCAGCCUUGUGAACCCGUGUGAACUAACAAAAGAAGAAGAGUAUCUUGUACCAAUCAUUUAUGGUACCAUUUUGAAUAUGUAUCUAGAUUCUUAGUCAGGGUGACAUUUAUUAUUGCUGCAAUGCAAUUGAUGAUUGAAAAAAAAAUAGAAAAAAAUAAGAUCAUAUUUUAAUUAAUCU